rnacentral:sRNA from 1 species
UGGGGCCCCAGUCCCAUGCAUCUGUUGCCCUCCCCACUGGCUCUGCUUCCUCCUUGUCAAGGUUUAAGGUUUGGUAUCCCAGCGGCUGGGGCGUCUCAUGGCUCCAACCGAGGCUGUCCCGCGAUCUCUCGCCGAAACCUUUUCCAUGGUUAUUUGAUAUUUUGACCAUCCAAAUACGGUUUGACGCGUAUAAGCCCCCUUUCUUCGAGCCAUCGACUGAAAAUCAAACUACACCGGUGUUCAUAACUAUUACAUAUCUGACCCUGGAUUAAACAAUACAAUGUACUUGGUUCCUACGGGAUUCUUAACUCUUGGCUGAUAUGUUUUUUGUUUUUCCCUAUACCUGCUGAGAAUAGACAAAACAUUGACUACAUCGGGAUGGAAAAGGAAAAAGAGUCCUGGCUCGUUCACUGGGUCACCACCGCGCUUUCUUCGAAUUUUGCAUAGAUUGCACAUCCUUUCCAAGGAGCAUUUUUCUUCUACAUAUACCCUCCAGAUGCAAGGCUCGACAGCAGCUGCAUAUCAAGCAGUUUCAGCAUAGCAUCGUAAAUAUAUCCAAUGCAUCCUUUGGUUUCUUAGUUAUACUCCUGUUUCAUGCUUCUCUCCAGAAGAUAUCUAGAAGAUAUCUCGUCAACGGCGCCAACGGCGCCGGCGUUCUGAAUUCGUUAUGCCGCCAGGAUGCGCCCUUUCAAGGGUCGUUCUCUGAUCUGAAUAGUGGGGGCAUGAUUGCCUUAUGGUUCUGAUGUGCUCUACUUAAUACCUAGCAUCUCUAAGCAGUUAUCUGUGGUUAUUGUAUAUUUUUCUCUUAGCGGGUCCUCGUAAUCGUUUCGAGAUUGCUGCUCGUUACAUCCAAGGAAUACCAAUUUCUUUAUGUUUUCUUCUUCGAUUUUUAUAUCAACAUCAAAAUGGAAAUGAGAAUGGUAAAAAUAUGCGUUUGAUGGACCAUCAAAACUCCGUUCAGCUAUGCACUCUUACCUCAUUUUCUCAUUUCUUUUAUUCCCCAGACUUUGAUGUCUCAGAGGCGAUUCUGCUCUAACGGGC